GGUGAAGAACGUAGCGAAAUGCGAUAAGUAAUGUGAAUUGCAGAAUUCAGUGAAUCAUCGAAUCUUUGAACGCACAUUGCGCCCGCCAGCAUUCUGGCGGGCAUGCCUGUUCGAGCGUCAUUUCAACCCUCGCGCCCCCCCGGGGGCCUCGGUGUUGGGGGACGGCACACCAGCCGCCCCCGAAAUGCAGUGGCGACCCCGCCGCAGCCUCCCCUGCGUAGUAGCACACACCUCGCACCGGAGCGCGGAGGCGGUCACGCCGUAAAACGCCCAACUUUCUUAGAGUUGACCUCGGAUCAGGUAGGAAUACCCGCUGAACUUAAGCAUAUCAAUAAGCGGAGGA
rnacentral:misc_RNA from 1 species